CGUCCAUCAAACUGCUGUGAACUGUUGCCAAUGCUUAACUCCUAUAUUGAGCCUAAUUCCUUCUAUGAUUAAGGAGUGCAACUCCAAUCCAGGCAGCAUGCAACAAAACCAUUACUUGUCUGCUUUAUGGGUCCAAGGAUAAUCUCUAAUAUUUAUUCCUUUAUUGAAUCCACAGUCUGGUAAAUUAAUGAUUUACUUUAUAGGAAGAAGUUGCUAAGAGGAUUUUCCUAAGAAGUAUUUGCCUAAAGCUCCUACGGUGAAGUCUGAAUGGGAAGAAAGUACAGAAGGGAAAGUGUUCUCCUACCUAAGGUAUUUACACAGUCCCAUUAUCAUCCUAUUUUGUGACAGAUGACAUUAAAAGACUCAGUAGCAGUAAUCAACUCCAAAAGCUAGAGAAAUCAGGUAAUUUACCAGGAAAACAGCACUAGGGGAAACGGCACCCCAAAGACUUUCACACUGAAGCAUGUAUCUGUUGGCAUUUCCUUGGAAGAGACAGCAGUAAGUCAAAUUCCAGAGAACUCCCCCACUGAGGAGCUUUUUCCCCUGCACCAGUUCAUUACCAGCGUUUCAGUACUAACUGCUGUGUACACCUGCAAUGCCUCAGCAGCUAUACAGCACCCCCCAGUUUCUGAGCUCACAUAACAGGAGGACUGCAAAGAUUGCCAUGUAUAUAUAGCUGUAUUUGAGAUGGCCUACAUAAUUAUGUAUCCUUACUCAUGACAGACAAAGCAGUUGCCAAAGCCAGCAUAGGCCACAAAGAGGUCAGUCCUUCUGCUGUUUGGUCCCUGUGCCUGUGGUACAGCUCCGUGUUGCCACACAGCACACAUUUUGUGUGCAGAAUCUCAGAAAUCUGUGGCAUGCACUCACUUUUAAAAUACGAUGUAUACCUUGUACACAGAUCUGCAGCGUAGUGUCUCAGAUUCUCAGUUCUAAUUUAAACUUCAUAUCAGAAAAAUACUGUGUAAAGACCCCAAGAAUCUUCAUUAAAAUCAAACCUGGUUCCCAUUGUCAAGCUUUAAAUGUCAGCCUUGCAUUUUAUUUGAAACACUUUCUUGAACAAAGGACACUCUUCUUAUUACCAAAAAAAAAAAAUUAACCUGA
rnacentral:lncRNA from 1 species